CGAAGACUCAUCUCCAGAUAUACGUCGACCACUCUCCGAACACGUUUCAUAAAGUGUACGUGGAGUAUGUGAUAUGUUAUCAUAGAGGAUAUUUAGAAAGGAGAAAGUUUCUUUGAAAUUGUGUUAAUAAUUCAAGUGCAGCACGCCAUGGUAUACAUUACCACUUGACGUAGAAAAAUUUUGGCCAUUGAGACUGCAAACAACUUCGAACGGUUGCAUUCCUACGUAACUAUAAUUUACGUUUUAUCGGUGCAGAAAUUCGUCGUAGUAGUAUUGGAGAGCUCGAAGACAGUUACUUCUUAACCAUCUUUUAACCUCUUGUAUAUUGUUUAAGAAAGGAUGGUUGAUUACAUAUUGCACCAAAAAAAUUAAUUUCUAUAUUUGCAAAUGUUUACUUAGAACAUUAUCUUAAUAAAAUACAUACGAAGUCGAAAAGAUCCUCAAUCGUGAUCAAAUUGGAAGUAAAAUUGUGUUGCUUUGUCAUUAACUUGACUUUUUCUUUUUAUUUCAGAUAUUUAAGAUUAUUGUUCAUUGUUAAUGAGGAGGUAUUGAAUGUUACAUAAAUUCUCAAAUCUUCUUUUAUUCGACAACAGUGUAUAUUAUUAUAUUUAAAUAAUCGAAGCGAACAAAUAAAAAUUCAUUUCUUGUUAGAAUAAUCAUUUACUAAUAUGUGACAAUCUACAUGUCGAUUCACUAAUCGGGGGAAUAAUUCCUAAUAAUUAGGAUUGGCCUGUUAAAACAAUUCUUUAAUCUGAUUAAACCUAACCAUUAUUUAAAUUUCUACGUACCUGCAUUUCCAAGAUGAAACACGCAGUCUAGAAGGAAGCUUUUUGAAUACA